GCCGCGGUAAUACGGGGGGUGCAAGCGUUAAUCGGAAUUACUGGGAGUAAAGGGUCUGUAGGUGGUUUGUUAAGUCAGAUGUGAAAGCCCAGGGCUCAACCUUGGAACUGCAUUUGAUUCUGGCAAACUAGAGUACGGUAGAGGAAUGGGGAAUUUCUGGUGUAGCGGUGAAUUGCGUAGAGAUCAGAAGGAUCACCAAUGGCGAAGGCAACAUUCUGGACCGAUACUGACA
rnacentral:rRNA from 1 species